rfam:Sus scrofa isolate TJ Tabasco breed Duroc chromosome 18, whole genome shotgun sequence.
GGGGGUAUAGCUCAGGGGUAGGGCAUUUGACUGCAGAUCCAAGAGGUCCCUGGUUCAAAUCCAGGUGUCCCCU